rnacentral:rRNA from 1 species
CACGCUGUUAAACGAAUGAACGAACUUAGGUGUGGGGGGGUUCAGUCCCUUCCGUGCCGCAGCUAACGCAUUAAGUCGUCCGCCUGGGGAGUACGGCCGCAAGGUUGAAACUCAAAGGAAUUGACGGGGGCCCGCACAAGCGGUGGGGCAUGUGGUUCAAUUCGAUGCAGAGCGAAGAACCUUACCUGGGCUUGACAUGCAGGAAGUAGGAACCGGAAACGGUGACGACCUGUUAAGUCAGGAACCUGCCCAGGUGGUGCAUGGCUGUCCUCAGGUCGUGUUCUGAGG